AGCCCCAUGGCGUAGUGGUCACUGCGCUCGCCUUGCACGCGGGAGACCCGGGUUCGAUUCCCGGCGGGGUCA
rfam:Asian citrus Psyllid, Diaphorina citri - Florida Strain, whole genome shotgun sequence.